rnacentral:tRNA from 1 species
GGCAAGGUGGCCGAGUGGUUAAGGCGCCAGAUUUAGGUAUUCCUAUUACCUCUGGUGGGUAACCGCGCGAGUUCGAAUCUCGUCCUUGUCA